rnacentral:rRNA from 1 species
AACGAACGCUGGCGGCAGGCCUAACACAUGCAAGUCGAACGCUCUCUUCGGAGGGAGUGGCAGACGGGUGAGUAACGCGUGGGAAUCUACCCAGCUCUACGGAAUAACGCAUGGAAACGUGUGCUAAUACCGUAUACGCCCCAUGGGGGAAAGAUUUAUCGGAGUUGGAUGAGCCCGCGUCUGAUUAGCUAGUUGGUGAGGUAAUGGCUCACCAAGGCGACGAUCAGUAGCUGGUCUGAGAGGAUGACCAGCCACACUGGGACUGAGACACGGCCCAGACUCCUACGGGAGGCAGCAGUGGGGAAUAUUGGACAAUGGGCGCAAGCCUGAUCCAGCCAUGCCGCGUGAGUGAUGACGGCCUUAGGGUUGUAAAGCUCUUUCACCGGUGAAGAUAAUGACGGUAACCGGAGAAGAAGCCCCGGCUAACUUCGUG